AACCUUUACACUGCACGACAGUGCGAUAAGGGAAUCCCAAGUGCGUAGGCAUAGAGCCUACGCUUUUGUCCACCGUAGGGAGGUGGACGAAUAAGGGCUGGGCAAGACCGGUGCCAGCCGCCGCGGUAAUACCGGCAGCCCGAGUGAUGGCCGAUCUUAUUGGGCCUAAAGCGUCCGUAGCUGGCCGCACAAGUCCAUCGGAAAAUCCACCCGCUCAACGGGUGGGCGUCCGGUGGAAACUGUGUGGCUUGGGACCGGAAGGCGCGACGGGUACGUCCGGGGUAGGAGUGAAAUCCCGUAAUCCUGGACGGACCGCCGAUGGCGAAAGCACGUCGCGAGAACGGAUCCGACAGUGAGGGACGAAAGCUAGGGUCUCGAACCGGAUUAGAUACCCGGGUAGUCCUAGCCGUAAACAAUGCCUGCUAGGUGUGGCUCCCACUACGAGUGGGUGCUGUGCCGUAGGGAAGCCGCUAAGCACGCCGCCUGGGAAGUACGUCCGCAAGGAUGAAACUUAC
rnacentral:rRNA from 1 species